GAGGCACUGCGGUGCUGAAGCAACAAAUGCCCUGCUUCCAGGAAAAGCCUCUAAGCAUCAGGUAACAUCAAAUCGUACCCCAAACCGACACAGGUGGUCAGGUAGAGAAUACCAAGGCGCUUGAGAGAACUCGGGUGAAGGAACUAGGCAAAAUGGUGCCGUAACUUCGGGAGAAGGCACGCUGAUAUGUAGGUGAAGUCCCUCGCGGAUGGAGCUGAAAUCAGUCGAAGAUACCAGCUGGCUGCAACUGUUUAUUAAAAACACAGCACUGUGCAAACACGAAAGUGGACGUAUACGGUGUGACGCCUGCCCGGUGCCGGAAGGUUAAUUGAUGGGGUUAGCGCAAGCGAAGCUCUUGAUCGAAGCCCCGGUAAACGGCGGCCGUAACUAUAACGGUCCUAAGGUAGCGAAAUUCCUUGUCGGGUAAGUUCCGACCUGCACGAAUGGCGUAAUGAUGGCCAGGCUGUCUCCACCCGAGACUCAGUGAAAUUGAACUCGCUGUGAAGAUGCAGUGUACCCGCGGCAAGACGGAAAGACCCCGUGAACCUUUACUAUAGCUUGACACUGAACAUUGAGCCUUGAUGUGUAGGAUAGGUGGGAGGCUUUGAAGUGUGGACGCCAGUCUGCAUGGAGCCGACCUUGAAAUACCACCCUUUAAUGUUUGAUGUUCUAACGUUGACCCGUAAUCCGGGUUGCGGACAGUGUCUGGUGGGUAGUUUGACUGGGGCGGUCUCCUCCUAAAGAGUAACGGAGGAGCACGAAGGUUGGCUAAUCCUGGUCGGACAUCAGGAGGUUAGUGCAAUGGCAUAAGCCAGCUUGACUGCGAGCGUGACGGCGCGAGCAGGUGCGAAAGCAGGUCAUAGUGAUCCGGUGGUUCUGAAUGGAAGGGCCAUCGCUCAACGGAUAAAAGGUACUCCGGGGAUAACAGGCUGAUACCGCCCAAGAGUUCAUAUCGACGGCGGUGUUUGGCACCUCGAUGUCGGCUCAUCACAUCCUGGGGCUGAAGUAGGUCCCAAGGGUAUGGCUGUUCGCCAUUUAAAGUGGUACGCGAGCUGGGUUUAGAACGUCGUGAGACAGUUCGGUCCCUAUCUGCCGUGGGCGCUGGAGAACUGAGGGGGGCUGCUCCUAGUACGAGAGGACCGGAGUGGACGCAUCACUGGUGUUCGGGUUGUCAUGCCAAUGGCACUGCCCGGUAGCUAAAUGCGGAAGAGAUAAGUGCUGAAAGCAUCUAAGCACGAAACUUGCCCCGAGAUGAGUUCUCCCUGACUCCUUGAGAGUCCUGAAGGAACGUUGAAGACGACGACGUUGAUAGGCCGGGUGUGUAAGCGCAGCGAUGCGUUGAGCUAACCGGUACUAAUGAACCGUGAGG
rnacentral:rRNA from 1 species